rnacentral:rRNA from 1 species
CCUACGGGUGGCAGCAGUGAGGAAUAUUGGUCAAUGGGCGCGAGCCUGAACCAGCCAAGUAGCGUGAAGGAUGACUGCCCUACGGGUUGUAAACUUCUUUUAUAAAGGAAUAACGUGAGGUACGUGUGCCUCUUUGUAUGUACUUUAUGAAUAAGGAUCGGCUAACUCCGUGCCAGCAGCCGCGGUAAUACGGAGGAUCCGAGCGUUAGCCGGAUUUAUUGGGUUUAAAGGGAGCGUAGAUGGGUUGUUAAGUCAGUUGUGAAAGUUUGCGGCUCAACCGUAAAAUUGCAAUUGAUACUGGCAGCCUUGAGUACAGUUAAGGUAGGCGGAAUUCGUGGUGUAGCGGUGAAAUGCAUAGAUAUGACGCAGAACUCCGAUUGCGAAGGCAGCAUGCCGGCGCCCUACUGACGCUGAUGCACGAAAGCGUGGGUAUCGAACAGGAUUAGAUACCCUUGUAGUC